GACGAAGGUGGCGAGCGUUGUUCGGAAUCACUGGGCCUAAAGCGCACGUAGGCGGUGUCGUAAGUCGGAUGUGAAAUCCCUCGGCCUAACCGAGGAACUGCGUCCGAUACUGCGAUGCUUGAGGACCAGAGGGGUGCAUGGAAUUUCCGGUGGAGCGGUGAAAUGCGUUGAUAUCGGAAGGAACUCCGGCGGCGAAAGCGAUGCACUGGCUGGUUUCUGACGCUGAGGUGCGAAAGCCAGGGGAGCAAACGGG
rnacentral:rRNA from 1 species